AGGGCAAUUGCUGGAUCAUAUGGUAAGGAUAUAUUUAGUUUUGUAAGAACUCAUCAAACUGUCUUUCAAAGUGGCUGUACCAUUUUGUAUUUCCACCAGCAAU
rnacentral:pre_miRNA from 1 species